rnacentral:lncRNA from 1 species
GCGCGGUGCCGGGAAGCGCCGCCGCGCGGGCCCGCUCACAGGCGGAGCCGAGCCCUCGGCCGCGGGCCCUGCAGUCCUCUCGGCGCGUCACGCGACAAAGUUGUCUCCAGGCUCCCGCGGCGCCGCAUCCACUGUAGAACGGGCCGCGGCGCGCUUCCCCCGGCCUCCGCACCGCCUCGCUCGCUCCCUCCGCCUGCGUGCCUGCCCGGGCUGGCGGGACGCGGAGCCCUCCUCGUCCCUGUCUUCUGCCUGGCUCGGCGGCGGCGAGGUCCACUCGAGCCCCCAAAAGUCUCUGGCUCCCGCGGGAUUGGUGCCCUCGCUGGCGCUCACACUGGCACAAGCCGCAAGGCCGAGGGAGAGCGGGCGGGUGGCGGUGGCGUCUCUGCGCCCCGCCGCGCGCGGAGAGCAGAGCACGCCGAGAAGGAGUUCUUCGCUUUGCCCUCUCUUUUACACUCCGGGUUUUUUAUCCCGAGGGGUAAAAAAGCCGCACAGUCUCCAUAUGUGCGCGCGCGUGGAGAUAGACGUCGGCAGAAAGGGGGCGGAGGAGUGUCGUCCUGGCCGUGCGGGAGGAGACGGUCCGCGCCUCCCCACUCGGGCUUCCCCGGGGCGGAGGGGAAGGCGGAAUCUGUUCAGGCCACUUUUGCUGCCUCGAAACUUUCCCACCACGUGGGUGCCCAGACCCUCGCCCGGCUGUGCAGCGGGCCACACCGACAGACUCCAGACGCGGGAUUGGGCGCUCGCCCUCGCCGCCGUCCCUCCCCAUCCCCGACCAGGGGCUCGGUGACACCUAUGUCAGACUGGCUGGAGCUCCAAACGAAGUGACUGGGCAAGCUCCUCACAGAACCCAAGAAAGAAUGGUUCCAGACUCCGUGCUCCGGCCACUAGACAAGAAACGCUGUCAAUGGAAAUCUGACUCCUAGCCCUGUCCAGAACCCCGAGUGCAAUAGUUCCUUCCCAUCGUCCUCAGGUGCCCACCUGGGUCUGAAACAGCAGGACAGAGCUCACAGGGUACAAUGCCCUGGGUCAGGAACACAGCCUCUCCACCUCUUUUCACUAACCUGGGCCUCACUCGGGAACAGGCGAGACUUCGAGGGACAAGUAGGGUGGGAGGCCCUUCUGGCUUUCCUCAGACACUGAAGGACGACCAAUGCUGAGGGAGUCCCCCUCCCCCAAAGGAGAAACUUUCAGGCCAGCUUUUCUUACGGAGUUGGGCCAGGACCACAGCCCCACAAGUCUGGAGGCGGAGCGCCCCCUCCCUCCCAAUCCGAGGAACCGACCCAAAGUCCGCCGGGCAAAACUAGGGCCGGUCUGAGUUUCCCUACGCUUAGCAGCCCUUCUGCCCUCUUAAGACAUUCGAGUCCCGUUCUCUGCUGCCCCCGUCUGGCUUCCGCCACCUGCCCUCUGCUGGAGCCCAUGGUUCCUGGGCAGGAGGGGGAUGCUCAAAGUCGGGCUGGGCCCACUAUGCUGUUUGCAUAG